AUACAGAGGGUGCGGGCGUUAAUCGGAAUUACUGGGCGUAAAGCGCGCGUAGGCGGCUUAUUAAGUCAGAUGUGAAAUCCCCGGGCUCAACCUGGGAACUGCAUCUGAUACUGGUAAGCUAGAGUUUGGGAGAGGGAAGUAGAAUUUCAGGUGUAGCGGUGAAAUGCAUAGAGAUCUGAAGGAAUACCAGUGGCGAAGGCGACUUCCUGGCCUAAAACUGACGCUGAGGUGCGAAAGCGUGGGUAGCAAACGGGAUUAGAAACCCCAGUAGUCC
rnacentral:rRNA from 1 species